rnacentral:rRNA from 1 species
UACGUAGGGGGCAAGCGUUGUCCGGAAUCACUGGGCGUAAAGGGCGCGUAGGUGGUGGCUUAAGCGUGCGGUGAAAGCUCGGGGCUCAACCCCGAGUCGGCCGUGCAAACUGGGCUCACUGGAGCAUAGUAGAGGCAGGUGGAAUUCCGGGUGUAGCGGUGGAAUGCGUAGAGAUCCGGAAGAACACCGGUGGCGAAGGCGGCCUGCUGGGCUAUGGCUGACACUGAGGCGCGACAGCGUGGGGAGCAAACAGG